rnacentral:rRNA from 1 species
UACGAAGGGGGCUAGCGUUGCUCGGAAUCACUGGGCGUAAAGGGCGCGUAGGCGGCCAUUCAAGUCGGAGGUGAAAGCCCAGGGCUCAACCCUGGAAUUGCCUUCGAUACUGUUUGGCUAGAGACCGGAAGAGGUAAGUGGAACUGCGAGUGUAGAGGUGAAAUUCGUAGAUAUUCGCAAGAACACCAGUGGCGAAGGCGGACUUACUGGUCCGGUUCUGGACGCUGAGGCGCGAAAGCGUGGGGAGCAAACAGG